AACAGUUGGUAGCUCAGUGGUAGAGUGCAUGCUUUGUGUGUAUGAUGUCCUGAGUUCAAAUCCCAGAAAUUGUUC
rnacentral:tRNA from 1 species